rnacentral:rRNA from 1 species
UACGUAGGGACCAAGCGUUGUUCGGAAUUACUGGGCGUAAAGGGCUCGUAGGCGGCCAACUAAGUCAGACGUGAAAUCCCUCGGCUUAACCGGGGAACUGCCUCUGAUACUGGAUGGCUUGAGAUUGGGAGAGGGAUGCGGAAUUCCAGGUGUAGCGGUGAAAUGCGUAGAUAUCUGGAGGAACACCGGUGGCGAAGGCGGCAUCCUGGACCAACACUGACGCUGAGGAGCGAAAGCCAGGGGAGCAAACGGG